rnacentral:rRNA from 1 species
CAGCCGCCACGGUAAUACAGAGGGUGCAAGCGUUAAUCGGAAUUACUGGGCGUAAAGCGCGCGUAGGUGGUUUGUUAAGUUGGAUGUGAAAUCCCCGGGCUCAACCUGGGAACUGCAUCCAAAACUGGCAAGCUAGAGUAUGGUAGAGGGUGGUGGAAUUUCCUGUGUAGCGGUGAAAUGCGUAGAUAUAGGAAGGAACACCAGUGGCGAAGGCGACCACCUGGAAUGAUACUGACACUGAGGUGCGAAAGCGUGGGGAGCAAACAGGAUUAGAUACCCCGGUAGUCCCUGUCUCUUAUAC